CCAGACUCCUACGGGAGGCAGCAGUGGGGAAUAUUGCACAAUGGGCGCAAGCCUGAUGCAGCCAUGCCGCGUGUAUGAAGAAGGCCUUCGGGUUGUAAAGUACUUUCAGUCGGGAGGAAGGUGUCAAGGUUAAUAACCUUGGCAAUUGACGUUACCGACAGAAGAAGCACCGGCUAACUCCGUGCCAGCAGCCGCGGUAAUACGGAGGGUGCAAGCGUUAAUCGGAAUUACUGGGCGUAAAGCGCACGCAGGCGGUCUGUCAAGUCGGAUGUGAAAUCCCCGGGCUCAACCUGGGAACUGCAUUCGAAACUGGCAGGCUGGAGUCUUGUAGAGGGGGGUAGAAUUCCAGGUGUAGCGGUGAAAUGCGUAGAGAUCUGGAGGAAUACCGGUGGCGAAGGCGGCCCCCUGGACAAAGACUGACGCUCAGGUGCGAAAGCGUGGGGAGCAAACAGGAUUAGAUACCCGCGUAGCA
rnacentral:rRNA from 1 species